GUCAGAUUUGGGAAAAGGAGAAUAAUGGAGGUUCUAUGCUCAAGCUACACACACUGUCUCAGGCUCUACCGGUAUCUAAGUUCCUUUGUGGAUCCUGGCCUAAUGGACCGUUGGCUUGAUUAGCCUGUUGACUGCAUUCACACAGCUCCCACUGAAGUGAGAUAUGGUGUGCAGUGGAUAGUAUACCCUGCUUCCACACAGCAGAGUGAUCCAUACAGCCGUACUAACAACAGAGGGGAAGAAGAGGAAAUCACCUGCCGUACCCUUUCAGACAGAAGUAGGGAUGUCUAGCUAAAGCAAACAGUCUGAUGGAAGGAGGGCAGGUUUAAAAAAAUCAUGGAUAAAAUGACCCCCUAAAAUAAGGAUGAAGUGGUGGGUGUAACCCACACACAGACACCAGAGGCAUUUGACAUCAGAAAAC